rnacentral:rRNA from 1 species
UACGUAGGGCGCGAGCGUUGUCCGGAUUUAUUGGGCGUAAAGAGCUCGUAGGCGGCUUGUCGCGUCGGCUGUGAAAUCCCGUGGCUUAACUGCGGGCUUGCAGCUGAUACGGGCAGGCUAGAGUUCGGUAGGGGAGACUGGAAUUCCUGGUGUAGCGGUGAAAUGCGCAGAUAUCAGGAGGAACACCGGUGGCGAAGGCGGGUCUCUGGGCCGAUACUGACGCUGAGGAGCGAAAGCGUGGGGAGCGAACAGG